rnacentral:tRNA from 1 species
AGGGGUGUAGCUCAGUCGGUAGAGCGUCGGUCUCCAAAACCGAAGGUCGCGGGUUCGAUUCCUGCCACCCCUGCCA